UGCCAGCCGCCGCGGUAAUACGAAGGGCCCGAGCGUUAAUCGGAAUCACUGGGCUUAAAGCGUACGCAGGCGGACUUGAAGGCAUCUUGUGAAAUCCCUCGUCUCAACCGAGGAACUGCAGGGUGAACCAUAAGUCUUGAGUCAAGUAGGGGCUGUCGGAACGCUAGGUGGAGUGGUGAAAUGCGUUGAUAUCUAGCGGAACGCCAAAGGAGAAAUCAGACAGCUGGGCUUGUACUGACGCUGAGGUACGAAAGCGUGGGGAGCGAACGGGAUUAGAUA
rnacentral:rRNA from 1 species